UAAGCGGGAAGCCCCCCUCAAGAUAAGGUCUCUCUGGAUCCUUAGAGAUCCCUGAAGGGUCGUUGAAGACUACAACGUUGAUAGGCGGGGUGUGGAAGUGCAGUAAUGCAUUAAGCUAACCCGUACUAAUUGCCCGUGAGGCUUGAUCAUAUAACACCCAAGAAG
rnacentral:rRNA from 1 species